GCCUGUGCCAGAUCAUUGGUGUAUUCAGAGAGCGCAUCCUGUAAAAUAGUAGUCAUGCCGGCAGUGUUGAGGGUGCCUGCUCACUUCGACGUUGUGAACUUUGUGCGCCAGAACCACUGACCAUACGCAGCCUGUGAAUUGGCUGGUAAGUACAGUUUGAUAUGAAGCACUUGGUUCUCCUUUAGGCUCUGCUGAUGAUACUCCACUUCAAGGUCCGUGUUUCUGAUUCCACUGAUAACUCUGGAAGUUCUGAUGAGCUUAAUAGAGCUUUUGUGGAUGUUUAAAUCUGUGUUUGGUGGUUUAAUUUGUUUGUUUCACUUCACCAGACCAAUGGUGAGUCUUGGGGCGCAGCUAGAGACGUAUCCAGCACAGGUGGCCAUGCAUCUUGUACAAUGAAGACUUUUGCCUGAACAGGGCUUUCAAGAACAUUCCAGGCCUGUAUUCAGAGAGAGCAUCCUGUAGAACAGUGGUCAUGCCGGCAGUACGUGCGCAAGAUCCGCCGACCAUACGCAGCCAGUGAAUUGGCCGACCAAUGGUGAGUCUUGGGGCGCAGCUAGAGACGUAUCCAGCACAGGUGGCCAUGCAUCAUGUACAACGAAGACUUUUGCCUGAACAGGGCUUUCAAGAACAUUCCAGGACUGUAUUCAGAGAGAGCAUCCUGUAGAACAGUGGUCAUGCCGGCAGUAUUCAGGUCGCCUGUUCACCUAUGUUGUGAACUACGUGCUCAAGAUCCGCCAACCAUAGGCAGCCAGUGAAUU
ensembl:lncRNA